rnacentral:rRNA from 1 species
UACAGAGGUCUCGAGCGUUGUUCGGAUUCAUUGGGCGUAAAGGGCGCGUAGGCGGCGGGGUAAGUCUGGUGUGAAAUCUCGGAGCUCAACUCCGAAAUUGCACUGGAUACUGCUCUGCUAGAGGGCUGGAGAGGAGAUCGGAAUUCACGGUGUAGCAGUGAAAUGCGUAGAUAUCGUGAGGAAGACCAGUGGCGAAGGCGGAUCUCUGGACAGCUCCUGACGCUGAGUGAGCGAAAGCCAGGGGAGCAAACGGG